GUUCGAGGUUAUAGUGUGCUACUCAUGGCGACCAGGCUUAUGUUUGAGAAUUCUUGUGAAAUUGGGGUUUUCUCCAAGCUCACUAAUGCUUACUGCUUGGUUGCAAUUGGUGGCUCUGAGAAUUUCUACAGUACCUUCGAAACUGAAUUAGGUGGUGUCAUUCCGGUUGUUAAAGCAUCUAUUGAUGGCACUCGCAUUAUUGGCCGUCUUUGUGCUGGA
rnacentral:misc_RNA from 1 species